CGCGUAGGCGGCUUUGUAAGUCACUUGUGAAAUCUCCGGGCUUAACUCGGAACGGCCAAGUGAUACUGCAAUGCUAGAGUGCAGAAGGGGCAAUCGGAAUUCUUGGUGUAGCGGUGAAAUGCGUAGAUAUCAAGAGGAACACCUGAGGUGAAGACGGGUUGCCGGGCUGACACUGACGCUGAUGCGCGAAAGCCAGGGGAGCAAACG
rnacentral:rRNA from 1 species